GACAAAACAAAAGAGAGAGAGAGUGAGAGCAAGGGGGUUCAGCCACCUUAGAGAAAGAGAGAAAAAAUUUUGCUCAUCAAUCUUUGAUCCAAAAAUCUAAAAUUUCUAGUAUUCCUACUAAGCUCAAGACCCUCUUCAACGUGGUACAAUUAUUUUAGCAAGAAAAUCACUUUGGUGGCAAGUGAAGAAUUUGAAGAAAAAGAUAUUGGAGAGCCCGAGACUUGAUUCGGAAUUUGAUUAGCGAGCGAUCGAGGUGCUGACGUUCGAUCAGGUGACCCGCCAGUAUAGGAUACUUAUUCUGCUGUUUGGAGUACUCCUUUUGAUUCGGAGCUCAUCUUUUUGGUACAUAUCUUCUGUUAUACAUGUUCUGUAUAUAUGGCUAUUUGGGUACGGCGGGGCCCUAUCCCGUCAUAUGUUUCUGUUAUGGUUUGUAGAGGCCUGUAGACAUAUAUGUGGGUCAUGGGUCAUGUUUGUUCGUUUAUGUUUAUGAUCUGCGCCUUAAUGCGGUCCCGUUUGCUAUUAUGGCCAAAACGGCCCAUAUGUUUGUAUAUGUAUGUAUAUCUGGGCGAUGUGUAUUCCGCUAGCCUACCGGAUUUGAUAUGAUGUUUCUGUACGGGCGACCGCUUAAGACGAUAUUUGUUUUCAGUAUCUGUUUAAAAUAACGUAUGUUAAGUUUGAAUAAAUCUUUGAUAUGUCGAUCUGGUACGUAAGUCUAUUUGGGUGUCCAAAUAGGGCACCCGUCGCGGCCCACGAGGCUGGGUCGUGACAGAUAUACUUGGAGUAAGUGAUGCUCCUCAGACGCCUGAGCUAUUUGCGACGAGCAGCUCAGGAAGAUAUUAAGGCUUUUAUCAUUUACUACCUGAAUUGACUCCACUUUUACCUUUGAAAUCUGCAAUGCAGGUACCAAACGUCAAACAAUCUUAUGGUGGCACAAACUUUUCUAGUUUUGUUUGAAAACUUCAAAUAGUCAUUUUCUGUUUAGGCUACUAGAUAAGAAUUAUUAUGUCUCCUGCAACAUACCUGGAGUUAGUUUCAGCUUUAGAAAAAGAGUGCUAAGUGUUCUAAUUGAACUUUGUCAUUUAUAGCAUUGAAGUAAUAUUCUUUUGUUUGGUCCUCCUUGUACAAGAAGAAUGAUUGCUGAGGCUGGGGUCACUGGAGCUCUGGUAAAUUUCAUCAAUAUCUCAGGGUGUGUUUGGUAUGAAGGAAAAUGUUUCUUAGAAAACGAAUGGGUUUCUUACUUUUUUUUCCAGUGGUAAGUAAAGAAAUAUUAUUCCAAGAACAUUAUAUGUAAUCUAGCAAAAUACUAUGUGGGAUGGCGUGGGGAGUGGAGUUCAGCCGUACGGGGGUGGGAUGGUCAAGGAUUAGGGGUUGGGGAUGUUGGCUGGGUGGGGAGGAGAAAAUGAACUUGAAAUGCCACUUUUGCAACUUAUUUUCCCUAUUUCCAAAAGGAAAGUCAUUUUUAAGGAACUUGUUUUCCUAGAGAACGUUUUUCAAAAUAUUUUGACCAACCAAAAAUGAAAUAAAUUAUCUUGAAAAUGUUUUCCUCCAUACCAGACACACCCUUAAUGUCCUGUAUUUUUCAAGGUCAUUUUGCACAAUAGAAAGAACUUAUCAGCAGCUUGUUUUUUGGAUGGUUAAAUCGGAGCCCUUUUGUUUAUUGGCAAUGUGAGUUUCUUAAAGUGUUUAUAUUGGUAAUGUGAAAGUUCUUACUGCGCUCGCUGGUCUAUUGACUCCGCAAAAUGAGUUCUCACAGUGUCCCUUAUGGGUCAUCUUCUUCUUGUCUGCCGCAGAAUCUACGUGUGAAUGAACAUAUUGUCCUGUGGGAGAGUUGUUAGAGAAGGACAAGAAGGUACUUGUGCUCUGCUAGCUGACAUAGCCAAAAACAUGCCUCUAUGUAGUAUACACUCCUAUUAAAUAGUACUUAAAAUAUAUUAUAAAACCAAUGAAAGGACUAUCACUUUGUGCUUAGCACUCUCAUUGCAGCGGCCGAACCAGGAAUUCUGACAAGGAGAUUCGAAAAAAUGCAUGAAUGUAUCAUCUAGGAUUUGAAAUUGUAACCUAAAGCGAUCUUUAACCACCUUUGACACUACGCUAAAAGCUUUUGUUAAAGGAGGAUUUAACAAUCUAUCUAUAUACAAAACCUUUUUGCUUUCAUUGCCCCUGCUCUGUUGCCUGUUGGUACGUUUCUGUGGUUAGCAGGUUACUGCAAGUGCGAUAACUCAAUAGCGGAACGUUGAAUUUGUGCAGUAGAAUCAACUCUAUGAUGAAAAGUUUCUACAGAGAAUAUAUCCUUGAGCAAAGCAAUUAUAUCUAGGAGUAUGAAUUAUGAACUGUUUAUUUUACCAAAAUGGU